rnacentral:lncRNA from 1 species
GUCAACAUCUCAUCUUGAAAAAACCUUCGUAAAUAUCACAGUCUCCAUAAAGCUUCCUUUUCUUGCCCAUGAGCACCUCACUCCCAGCAAUGGACUCACACCCUCCCUUGAAUCCCACUUCACUGUUAUAAUGAACAGACAUCUGACUUUACUGACUGAAAUUGAUUGGCUUUACUGACUGAAAAUCAACUCAACUUUAUUCAUUAUCCUUUUUUUCUAUUACUACUUUCAGCUUAAAUACAAAUAAAGAACUCUUCUUUCCUACAGCUAUCUACAGGAAGAGCACGUGGUUGACAAUGGUGUUGAGGGAAAUGGAUAAGAAAAUGAAUAGGAGAAGGCAAUUUAAAGAAAGGACAUGGGAAAGCUUAAAGAAAAUCAAAAAGCUUUGGAAACAAUGUAUAAUAUUACAUUAAAAAAAAAGAAUGUGUUUUACUUUUUGCAUACAACCACAAAAGAGCCAAGGUAAUAAAAAUUCACUUCCACUGUAUUGUGAUUCCAUUGAAAUACAAGUAAUCUCUAUGUUUAUGCUUUUCUUCUGUCCUUCU